UCCCCGUUACCGGGGCAGUCUAGCCAGAGAAAUCCAACUGGCUACAAGGGUUGCGCUCGUUAAUGGACUUAACCAAACAUCUCACGACACGAGCUGACGACGGCCAUGCAACACCUGUCACUUGGUCCAAUAAAGUACUCUCUCCUUUCGGAGAAAUUCCAAGGAUGUCAAACCUGGGUAAGGUUCUUCGCUUACCAUCGAAUUAAACAACACGCUCCACCGCUUGUGCGGGUCCCCGUCAAUUCCUUUAUGUUUUAGCCUUGCGGCCGUACUCCACAGGCGGGAUGCUCAACGCGUUAGCUUCGCUACUACGCGGGUCGAUACGCAUAACAGCUAGCAUCCAUAGUUUACGGCGUGGACUAC
rnacentral:misc_RNA from 1 species